rnacentral:rRNA from 1 species
UACGGGGGGGGUAAGCGUUGUUCGGAAUUACUGGGCGUAAAGGGCACGUAGGCGGCCAACUAAGUCAGACGUGAAGUCCCUCAGCUUAACUGGGGAACUGCGUCUGAUACUGGAUGGCUUGGAUCCGGGAGAGGGAUGCGGAAUUCCAGGUGUAGCGGUGAAAUGCGUAGAUAUCUGGAGGAACACCGGUGGCGAAGGCGGCAUCCUGGACCGGUAUUGACGCUGAGGAGCGAAAGCCAGGGGAGCAAACGGG